rnacentral:lncRNA from 1 species
GCCCGGCUGGGCCCUGCUGCACCCCGGGCGCCUCACCCACCACCCGCGGGUGCUGCCGCCCGCCGCCGGCACCCGCUACGCCCUGCUCGCCCUGCUCGACCCCUGAGCCCCCCGCCGCCGCCACCCAUGGGUGCUGCAAGGCGUGGACCCGCCACCUAUGGCAUGGACCCGCCACCUAUGGGUGCUGCGAGGGAUGGAUCCACCACCUAUGGGUGCUCCGUGGGAUGGACCCACCACCUAUGGGUGCUACGAGGGAUGGACCCACCAGUUAUGGCAUGGACCCACCACCUAUGGGUGCUGCAAGUUGUGGAUCCACCACCUAUGGGUGCUCCGUGGGAUGGACUCACCAGCUAUGGGUGCUGCAAGGCAUGGACCCACCACCUAUGGGUGCUGCGAGGGAUGGACACGCCACCAGUUAUGGCAUGGACCCACCACCUAUGGGUGCUCCGUGGGAGGGACCCACCAGUUAUGGGUGCUGCAAGGGAUGGAUCCACCACCUAUGGGUGCUCCAUGGGAUGGACUCACCAGCUAUGGGUGCUGCAAGCCAUUGACCAGCCAGCUAUGGGUGCUGCAAGGCAUGGAUCCACCAGCUAUGGGUGCUGAAAGUUGUGGAUGGACCACCUAUGGGUGCUGCGAGGCAUGGAU